UACGUAGGGUCCGAGCGUUGUCCGGAAUUAUUGGGCGUAAAGGGCUCGUAGGCGGCCUGUCGCGUCUACUGUGAAAGCCCGAGGCUUAACCUCGGGUCUGCAGCGGAUACGGACAGGCUAGAGUUCGGUAGGGGAGACUGGAAUUCCUGGUGUAGCGGUGAAAUGCGCAGAUAUCAGGAGGAACACCGGUGGCGAAGGCGGGUCUCUGGGCCGAUACUGACGCUGAGGAGCGAAAGCAUGGGGAGCGAACAGG
rnacentral:misc_RNA from 1 species